GGGAUUCUAUCAUUUUCCAAGACAGUGUGUGAAGAACACUAAAGAGCACACACACACACACACACACACACACACACACACACACACACACACACACACACACACACACGCGCGCGCGCGCCACUUUUUCACUCCUAAAAUAUCUCACUGACACAAGAAUAGCGUUUGAAUAUUUGGCUUCUGAGUGUUUAAUGUUUUAAUGUUUAUCUUCUGAGUGUUUAGUGUUUAGUUGUUUAGUUCUGCGUGUUUAGUGUUGAAGUGUUUAGUGUUGAAGUGUUUAGUUUCUGAGUGUUUAGUGUUGAAGUGUUUAGUUCUGCGUGUUUAGUGUUGAAGUGUUUAGUGUUGAAGUGUUUAGUUCUGCGUGUUUAGUGUUGAAGUGUUUAGUUCUGCGUGUUUAGUGUUGAAGUGUUUAGUUCUGAGUGUUUAGUGUUGAACUCUUAGCAUCUGAUUGUUUAG
ensembl:lncRNA